rnacentral:rRNA from 1 species
GACGAACGCUGGCGGCGUGCCUAAUACAUGCAAGUCGAACGCAGUGGGGACGGGUGAGUAACACGUGGGUAACCUCCAAUCAGAGGGGAUAACACUUGGAAACAGGUGCUAAACCGAUACUGAUGGAUGGACACGGGGUGCAUUAGCUAGUUGGGGCGGUAACGGCUCACCAAGGCCACGAGGCAUAGCCGACCAGAGAGGGGGAUCGGCCACACUGGGACUGAGACACGGCCCAGCCUCCUACGGGAGGCAGCAGUAGGGAAUCUUCGGCAAUGGACGAAAGUCUGACCGAGCAACGCCGCUUGAGUGAAGAAGGUUUUCGGAUCGUAAAACUCUGUUGUUAGAGAAGCGGUAUCUAACCAGAAAGCCACGGCUAACUACGUGCCAGCAGCCGCGGUAAUUC